GGGCGAUUAGCUCAGUUGGCUAGAGCACUUGCCUUACAAGCAAGGGGUCACUGGUUCGAGUCCAGUAUCGCCCACCA
rnacentral:tRNA from 1 species